UGCAAGAGAACAAAUGCUAAGACACCAGCAAACGCAGCGCGGAAGUCCAUUGAUAAGAAGAGAUUAAUUUCUCAAAGAGUCAAAGUGGAUUUCUUAAUCUAAGCUACAAAAUUGCCAGAGGAAGCCAUGAGCACUGACUUGGGGCCAGAAACAUAUAUGGCGUAUUGGAAUGGCCAACUUCAUUAUGACGAAUCUGACGCGGUAUGGGCGGCAAGUUUCGACUAGAGAGAGGCUUUGAAAAAAGAUGCACAUGGCUCAAGACUAAGAGGAAGUUUUGUUCUGAAUUCCCAUAUGACCUUCAGGAAAGAAAGGUAACACCGAGGGAGUUGGAAUAAGACAAAUGGAUGCAUGACUACUCAGGUAAAACUACACUUGCACAGAGUCAUUGUUGGUAUCAUAUUGUAUGUUAUAAUGCUUGAAACAUAUAGAAUAUAGAAGUAGAAAGAAUCAAUCAGAGGCGUAGAAAUUGUACAUGAUUUUCAAUCAGAGAUAAUGA